GACAUAUCUCAAGUUGCAUUAGCAACUAAAUGAGAAUCAUGUAGCAAUGAGUUCAGAAUCAGAACUGGAAAAACUGUCUUUGUCAGUUUUGGAGCCUAUCAGGCAUGCUACUGUUGUGUCACAGUGAUUUAUAUUCACUGGUCAUGGCUACUAAAGCUUUUGCGGGCUCAAGGCUGACAGUGGAAAACAGAAUCAGAGGGUUACCACAUUUUCUGCAUGUAAGGCUGCCUGAAAAGAUGUUUCCUGGGAGCCAUGAUGGACUUGAUGUGACACUGUGAGCUGCAGGUCUAUCUGUGCAGCAGUUCAUCCUCAUCGCUCAGGACAGAAAGAACAACCUGAAAUGUGAUUACUAGGCAUCUUUCUACUUCGUUGCUUGUAAAGAUUAUACUGCAGCAUGCGUUUUGUUUAAGUGUGAAUUUUUAAUUUCAUGCCUAAAAGAGCGCAAAAUCAAGGAUUUGAUGAAAUGAGCUGAUUUCUUACUUUUUAAUCAAUCCAUGUUAACUUUUUUUUUGUACAUGGUCGGCAUGUAAAAAUGUGAAAUCUUGAUGCUGGCCUGAAAAUAACCAUCCACCACUUCAAUUUAAAAAUUUGAUAAAGCAAAAGCACAAAGAUUUUAAAGAUUUAAACUGCCAUUUUAACCAGGUACACGUGCUUCUAAAAACAUAUUAUUUUGCAAAUAACUGCAGCAUUUUGGGGCCAACACUGUAGCACUGCAACAGAUAGCAUCUGCAACAUCCAUGGCAUUCUGUAGUCUUUUCCAAUUUCAGAAGGAAAUUUCUGGUGAAUAUGCCCAGCAGUGACUUUGAUUAAAAUAAAUGAGAAAAUC